rnacentral:tRNA from 1 species
UCUCUGGUGGUCCAAUGGUUAGGACUCUACACUUUCACUGCCAAUGGCCCAGGUUCAACUCCUGGUAGGGGAA